rnacentral:rRNA from 1 species
CCGCGUGUGUGAAGAAGGCCUUCGGGUUGUAAAGCACUUUCAGUCGUGAGGAAGGUGGUGUAGUUAAUAGCUGCAUUAUUUGACGUUAGCGACAGAAGAAGCACCGGCUAACUCCGUGCCAGCAGCCGCGGUAAUACGGAGGGUGCGAGCGUUAAUCGGAAUUACUGGGCGUAAAGCGCAUGCAGGUGGUUUGUUAAGUCAGAUGUGAAAGCCCGGGGCUCAACCUCGGAAUAGCAUUUGAAACUGGCAGACUAGAGUACUGUAGAGGGGGGUAGAAUUUCAGGUGUAGCGGUGAAAUGCGUAGAGAUCUGAAGGAAUACCGGUGGCGAAGGCGGCCCCCUGGACAGAUACUGACACUCAGAUGCGAAAGCGUGGGGAGCAAACAGGAUUAGAUACCCUGGUAGUCCACGCCGUAAACGAUGUCUACUUGGAGGUUGUGGCCUUGAGCCGUGGCUUUCGGAGCUAACGCGUUAAGUAGACCGCCUGGGGAGUACGGUCGCAAGAUUAAAACUCAAAUGAAUUGACGGGGGCCCGCACAAGCGGUGGAGCAUGUGGUUUAAUUCGAUGCAACGCGAAGAACCUUACCUACUCUUGACAUCCAGAGAACUUUCCAGAGAUGGAUUGGUGCCUUCGGGAACUCUGAGACAGGUGCUGCAUGGCUGUCGUCAGCUCGUGUUGUGAAAUGUUGGGUUAAGUCCCGCAACGAGCGCAACCCUUAUCCUUGUUUGCCAGCGAGUAAUGUCGGGAACUCCAGGGAGACUGCCGGUGAUAAACCGGAGGAAGGUGGGGACGACGUCAAGUCAUCAUGGCCCUUACGAGUAGGGCUACACACGUGCUACAAUGGCGCAUACAGAGGGCGGCCAACUUGCGAGAGUGAGCGAAUCCCAAAAAGUGCGUCGUAGUCCGGAUUGGAGUCUGCAACUCGACUCCAUGAAGUCGGAAUCGCUAGUAAUCGUGGAUCAGAAUGCCACGGUGAAUACGUUCCCGGGCCUUGUACACACCGCCCGUCACACCAUGGGAAGUGGGCUGCAAAAGAAGUAGGUAG